ACAGUACUUUACGUUCUUUAGGUCUUGUAAGCGUGGGAUACACUACUUCUUCUUUAGGUCUUGUAAGCGUGGGAUACAGUACUUCUUCUUUAGGUCUUGUAAGCGUGGGAUGCAGUACUUCACGGCAGACCACAUUUCCCCUGGACAUUCUAUUGCCCUAACAGAGUUCUCCUUGCAGAGGGACAGAGACAAUGACAGAGGAUGUCCUUGAGGACACUGCUAAUAAGCAAGCAUCACCUAUGCACUCAUUCAGUGAGAGGAGAAGAGUCGUCUGCCUAAUUUCACCCAGUCCUUCCACCUCAUGCCCUUGUCAAGCCGCCAACUCUGGGACAGCGGGACAGACUGUCUAGACUAUUAAUCAUCCUCGGAAGAGUGCAUUUUAAAUCACACUUCAAUUAAUUCCAGCAAAUCAAG
ensembl:lncRNA